CAGGAAUAUUUCUCCAAGAAGUUUCCGAUGGACGGUGUUAACAUGCGCUGGAGAAAACAAGACGGAGAGAUUUUCCACGAGUAUGUGGAAGAGGAGGAGGAGGAGGAUGAGGAGGAGGAGGAGAAGUGCUCUGAUCUGUGAGAUACCAGCACAGGCAUCGCAAGUGGGGGUUCAGGGCAUUGUGCCAUUGAUCUCUAUUAUAAACAAAUUCUAGUCAAAGGCUUUUGACUGUUUUGAUUUUAAUAUUUAAGUAACUAUACAUAAUAUAAUCAGGGGUUCAAAUCAAUAUAAUUGUGAAGUUCAGAAAUGUUUUAAUCUGCAUUAAGAUCAAUAUAAUACUAAAGAGAUUAAACAGAUCUACAUGAAUAGUAGGGUCUGCAAACACUAGACUGCCAAAUGAAUUGCUUCAUUUCUGAAUGUUUUGACUUGUUUAAGGCUGCUGUAAUAAGUAAUAAAGUGAGGUUUUGUAAUAUCGAAAACCCGGGACCAAUGACACCAAGCAAACACUGUUUAAUUUUAAACUGCUCCAGUGAUAAUGUGUUUGUAUGAAUCAAUUUGUGAUAGAAAACUGCUCAUUCAAAUAUAAGUUGUAUCACAAUGUUAGUGUUCUCCUGUGUAUUGUUAUCACCAAGCAAACACUGUUUAAUUUCAGCAUCAUCAUACAUUCAAUAAACUGCUCCAGUGAUAAUGUGCUUGUAUGAAUUAAUUUGUGAUAGAAAACUACCAAUUCAAUUAUAAGUUGUAUCACAAUGUUGGUGUUCUCCUGUGGAUUGUUAUCAGGUCUGCAUUUUUAAAAAAUGAGGCUGUUUAGUUUACUAUUCAUUUUACAUUAUGUCCUGGUUUAUAUUGUGAUGUUUGGUUUUCUUCUGUCAAUUUUACAUUAUAUUGGUGCAACUCAUAUUUUCAUGAAGGUGGUGGUGGGUGCAUUUAUAAUAAAGUAGCAACUAUAGCCUUAUCAUUUCUAUUCGGGGUAUUGAAGGCAGGGUGUGUUUUAGUGUCACUGCUGGAACACUGGUUUAUAUUAAGGUGGUGGUGGGUGCAUUUAUAAUAAAGUAGCAACUAUAUCCUUAUCAUUUCUAUUCGGGGUAUUGAAGGAAGGGUGUGUUUUAGUGUCACUGCUGGAACACUGGUUUAUAUUAAGGUGGUGGGUGUGCGAUUUCAUUUAUUAAUAAUUCCACGAUUGUUACAUUAGUUACUGGUGCAACUACAAUUUAUAUUUAAGCCUUUGAGUGUGUUUAAUUGUAUUUAGAGACUACAACUGUUGUGAUCUAAACAUUUCCUUAUCUAUCUAUCUAUCUAUCUAUCUAUAUAUCUAUCUAUCUAAUAUAUAUAUAUAUAUAUAUAUAUAUAUAUAUAUAAUUUGUAGCACGGUAGUGGGUGGAGUCAGGUAACAAACCUGGCUCCAAGUUAAUUUUGAGUAAUUGUUUAAGUUGAGUUAAUUGUUUUGUUAAUUAUUUUAUCGUUUUGGCAGUUGGCAAGGUUAAUUACAAAUUUGCAGGGAGAGAUCCAGGGCAAUGAAAGCAAUUGAAGCUUGAUAAUGAGGUGUUUGUGUAACUUGAGAUUGAAAAGUGCAGCUCGUGAUCAAGCUGUUUUGAGGUUUUGUGUUUGAGGGGUAUGGAUAGGAAAGGGGGUCCCCGACCGUCCCUGACCGGGCUGCCCUCUGAUGAUGUGCCGUUUUGUUUUGUUCAUGUGUUUUUGUUUGCGGUCUGUUCUGUAUUUGAUUGCAUUAAACAUGCGCAUUAGCGCUUUGGAACUGCA